rnacentral:rRNA from 1 species
UACAGAGGUCCCAAGCGUUGUUCGGAUUCAUUGGGCGUAAAGGGUGCGUAGGCGGCGCGGUAAGUCGGGUGUGAAAUCUCGGAGCUUAACUCUGAAACUGCAUUCGAUACUGCCGUGCUUGAGGACUGGAGAGGAGACUGGAAUUUACGGUGUAGCGGUGAAAUGCGUAGAUAUCGUAAGGAAGACCAGUGGCGAAGGCGGGUCUCUGGACAGUUCCUGACGCUGAGGCACGAAGGCCAGGGGAGCAAACGGG